rnacentral:rRNA from 1 species
AACUAGGAUUAGAUACCCUAUUAUAUUUAUGGAAUAAGGAAUUUUAUAAUUAAAUGUUGAAUCAUUAAAAUAAAGUAAUAUGGCGGCCUUUUAACCUUUUUAGGGAAAUUUGUUGUUUAAUUUGAUGAUCCACGAUAAGAUUUACUUAAAUUAUAUUUAUGUAUUGUUAUUAGAAUUUAUAAAUAAAAAAUAGUUAUGAAUAAAUAUUUUAUAAAAUAAUAUUUUAAAUCAAAAUGUAGUAUAUUUAAGAAUUAAUGAAUUAUAAUAAAUUGUAUUUUUGAAAAAUAAAUUUUAAAAUUUAUUGGAAAGAGGAUUUAAUAGUAAAUUAAUUUAAUUAUUUUAGUUGAAUUAAGUAUUAAUUGGUGUACAAAUUGCCCGUCAAUUUCUAAUGGGAAUAAGUCGUAACAUAGUA